rnacentral:rRNA from 1 species
GGUCUUCGGAUGCUGACGAGUGGCGAACGGGUGAGUAAUACAUCGGAACGUGCCCGAUCGUGGGGGAUAACGAAGCGAAAGCUUUGCUAAUACCGCAUAAGAUCUAAGGAUGAAAGCAGGGGACCGCAAGGCCUUGCGCGAACGGAGCGGCCGAUGGCAGAUUAGGUAGUUGGUGGGAUAAAAGCUUACCAAGCCGACGAUCUGUAGCUGGUCUGAGAGGACGACCAGCCACACUGGGACUGAGACACGGCCCAGACUCCUACGGGAGGCAGCAGUGGGGAAUUUUGGACAAUGGGCGAAAGCCUGAUCCAGCCAUGCCGCGUGCAGGAUGAAGGCCUUCGGGUUGUAAACUGCUUUUGUACGGAACGAAAAGACUCUGGUUAAUACCUGGGGUCCAUGACGGUACCGUAAGAAUAAGCACCGGCUAACUACGUGCCAGCAGCCGCGGUAAUACGUAGGGUGCAAGCGUUAAUCGGAAUUACUGGGCGUAAAGCGUGCGCAGGCGGUUAUAUAAGACAGAUGUGAAAUCCCCGGGCUCAACCUGGGAACUGCAUUUGUGACUGUAUAGCUAGAGUACGGUAG